rnacentral:sRNA from 1 species
AGUUUCCGGUAUCUCUGCAAUGGCGGCUCUGGACUCCCUGUCGCUGUUCACUAGCCUCGGCCUGAGCGAGCAGAAGGCCCGCGAGACGCUCAAGAACUCGGCUCUGAGCGCGCAGCUGCGCGAGGCCGCUACUCAGGCUCAGCAGACCCUGGGUUCCACCAUUGACAAAGCUACCGGGACCCUGUUAUAUGGCUUGGCCUCCCGACUCAGGGAUACCCGGCGUCUCUCCUUCCUUGUAAGCUACAUAGCCAGUAAGAAGAUCCACACUGAGCCCCAGCUAAGCGCUGCCCUUGAGUAUGUGCGGAGUCACCCCUUGGACCCCGUCGACACUGUGGACUUCGAGCGGGAAUGUGGCGUGGGUGUCAUUGUGACCCCAGAGCAGAUUGAGGAGGCUGUGGAGGCUGCUAUUAACAGGCACCGGCCCCAGCUCCUGGUGGAACGUUACCAUUUCAACAUGGGGCUGCUGAUGGGAGAGGCUCGGGCUGUGCUCAAGUGGGCAGAUGGCAAAAUGAUCAAGAAUGAAGUGGACAUGCAGGUCCUCCACCUUCUGGGCCCCAAGAUGGAGGCUGAUCUGGAGAAGAAGCCCAAGGUGGCAAAAACUCGGCUAGAAGAAACAGACCGGAGGAUGGCAAAGGAUGUGAUGGAGAAUGGCGAGACUGCUGACCAGACCCUGUCUCUGAUGGAGCAGCUCCGUGGGGAGGCCCUUAAGUUCCACAAGCCUGGUACGUACCCGGUUCCCGCCAGAACCCAAUGGAAUCCUGCAUAUUGGACAUGCCAAAGCCAUCAAUUUCAACUUUGGCUAUGCCAAGGCCAACAAUGGCAUCUGUUUUCUGCGUUUUGAUGACACCAACCCCGAGAAGGAGGAAGCAAAGUUCU